rnacentral:rRNA from 1 species
GUCUAUGGCCAUGCCAUCCUGAACAAGCCUGAUCCCGUCUGAUCUUGGAAGCUAAGCAGGGUCAGGCCUGGUUAGUACUUGGACGGGAGAUCCUAAGAAGACCAGGUGCUGAAGGUG